AUACCGUUUCCAGGUUCCAGUUUCCAAUAAUCAAGUCAAUCACCCUCUUCAUCUUUCUCCUUUGUUUUCAAUAAUCAACCAAAUCACAGUAGCUAAUUGCAUGAAGAAACCAAACAUUUUGGUAAUCACAAAUAUACAUCAUUCUCUUCUUGAUCCCUCAUCAUCAUCAUCCCUCCAUUCCCUCUUCCUCAGCUCCAAAUUAGUCUCUUGAAUCUCCCCAUUCUCCACCCGAUUCCACUGCACCCAAACAUCGGCAUGCAUCCCCAUGCGAUCCCCCGCCACCACGGUCCCCAAAUUCGCUUCCCUCGCGUUCCUCAGCAUCUCCGAGAAGUCGGAAUCAUUCAACGGUGACUUUUGGUCAGCCACCGUCUGGCCAAAAGAGAGACGAAGAGAGGCGAGUGGGCGGUCACCUGCCGAAAAAUCCUCUUGGAAAUGGUGCAAUCUUGGAGUCAUCUAACAAAGAAGUGCCAAUGUUGGUGAAUCUCCUCAGCAAUUUGUUUUUGCUUUUGAUUUUCACACCAAUAGGAUGGAGACUUAACCCAGUAGAUGGUGGACAAAAGGGCUAAUCAAGAAUGCUUAUUCGUGAAAUAGUUGAAGAAAUUGGAGUUCCUGCUGCUACCCUUAUAACUCUUUUCUUUUUAGUUAUAAAUUUGGUUGAAUUCUUAAUUUGGCUGAAUUUUCCUCUACACAAGACUGUUUUCAUUCUACCUUCUGUAUUAUUGCUACCUACAAACUGUUAGUCCUUUUCUUAAGAAGACAAAUUAUACUCUUUUGAUUGACUAUUGUAUGAGAUUAAUAAUCAAGUAAAUAGGCAUGCAGAAAAUUUAUGAAUUCUUUAUGAGUUGGCAAAUUUAUGAAUGUUAGUCGGUCUUUAAAAUUUACUAGGCCUUACUUGAGCUUUACUCUUGCCUAUCUAUCAUCAGCCAUAUCAUUAAGGUUCCUAAGAUAGUUAAACAAUGCAUCCUUCUUCUGAUUAACUGGGGUAAUUUGGAUACUUAAAGACAAAUUAACACCUAACACAUAAAGGCUGGAGCUAUAGUGCAUAUGAUGUUUUGUUUUAUCAUCUGAAGAUUAUUUUCUUUUUGGAACACCCACAUAGCUUUGAUGAAAAGGAGCACUUCAAACAUAGUUACAAAAAAGAUGAUUAGCAAUCCCAGUGUUAACUUAUUAUUGUGUUUUACAUCUUCCAUCAAUCUGCCCUGAAAUUCACCAACUUUCAACUGAAACUUUGCUCUUUAAUUGUCGUAUUUAAAUGUUUAAAACUAGCAUGACACUAACAAACUAGUGCAGGACUUUAGUGCUAGAAGCUUAUUAUAAUACUGUACCGCUACAUCUUAGCUUUCCUGAUGCUAUGAUUUAGCGGAGCAAGGGGAAGGAUGUUUUGAUGCUUUUUCCUAUGAUGCAGAGCAAGCCCGUCUUUAUGGGUAUUUCGCAGAGGGUGUUGAAUGUUAGACCAACAGCUUUUUUCUUCCUCAAAUGCAGUCUUCCAUGGAGGAAAUUCAACAGCUCUGUUCCAGUGCUGAAGAUGGCUUUGAGUCAACCCAGCUUUAUACCAUGCCAAUGGAAAAUAAAAAGGUUGGCGCAAGAGACUGGAUCAAGAAGUAGUUUCUUUCUGUAUCUACUUUGUAGACUGUAGUAGUUGGUUAGGAAUGAAUAAACUAUUUCUCUUGUAAUUUAAAUUUAUUUUCCAGUUUUAGAAGCGGCCCCCACCAAGUUAAAGUUUAUGCAUUAUUGUUGGUCUACGUGUACUUGCUGUCGGUUGGUUCUUUUCUUAUUUAUUGCAUUAUUGAAUGUGAACAAACGGAGAUGAGAAUGCCUCUUCUCCUCGAGAGAAGAUAAAAAAAAAAAAAAAAAAAAAAAAACCCUUCUUUCUCCCCAAAUCCAGCUUACCUCAAACCUAGCUAAUUAUACCCAAUUCUUCUUUGUUCUGAGUUGCUCGUAACUAAAGAUGGUCGGAAUAAUGGGUGAUAUGGAGUGGCAGUCUAGCCUUGAGUUCAGUUGCUGGUGCGAAGAGAGCUAUGAUGCACUCCUUCGCCAUGGAUAGCUUCAUAUAUAAUCUGGUAA